UCCUGGUUAUCCCAGGCAGUCUCCAAUGAAAAUCCAACAUUGAAAAGGGGUUGCGCUCGUUGCGGGACUUAACCCAACAUCUCACGACACGAGCUGACGACGGCCAUGCAGCACCUGUCACUCGGCUCCUUGCGGCACUUCUCUGUUUCCAGAAAAUUCCGAGGAUGUCAAGCCUUGGUAAGGUUCUUCGCUUACUGACGAAUUAAACCACAUGCUCCACCGCUUGUGCGGGCUCCCGUCAAUUCCUUUGAGUUUUAGUCUUGCGACCGUACUUCCCAGGCGAGGUACUUAACGCGUUAGCUUACGGUUCUGAAAGGGUCGACACUCCCAAAACCUAGUACCCAUAGUUUACAGCGUGGACUAC
rnacentral:misc_RNA from 1 species